CCGCUCUCUCUCUCUCACACAGCAAACCCCUCUCUCUCUCGCACAGCUAACCCUAGCGACCCACCUCUCCCCUCCCCUCGCGCAGCCGCCACCACGCCUUCUUCCUAUCCCGAUUCCCACCCACAUCGCCGCCGCUGCCGCCAGCCUACGCCCUCCCCCCACACCGCCGCCGUGAAACCCCCUCCUCACCUUCUCUCCCCGGUCGAGCAGCAGCAGGUCAGGCGGAGGCGGUAGCCAGAUCUGCCGCGUUGCUUCCGGAUCCGCGCCCUCCCCACCCCCGAUUCAUCUCCAAUCCUGUCGUCGACACCCAACCCCACCCCCAUCGGCGACCUCCCCUAACCCCAUCACCACCGGCGACUUCCCUCCCUUGCUCCUCAACCCAACCCAACCCCGAUUUGAUUCAGUUCAGAGACGAAUCCCCUCCCACAUCACUGCCACCGCCACACACUGCCGAUCCCCUCACAUCCAGCCAGUGGCCAUGGCCUCCGGUAUCUCCCCGACAGUCGCCACUCCCGUACCCUCUCUAGUCCCCUCCCCUCCCCUGCCCUCACCAGAAGAGGAAGAGAAGAGGGUCAGGCGGAUCAGGCGGCCGCCAUGGCGCGACCAGAUCCGCCACGGUUUCCCCGCGCGUUGUCCACGGGCUCGACUCCAGGGACUGGGUCAUGGUCUGCGAGGCCCUCAACGACGCGUGCCGCCUCGCCAUCCACCACCCCGCCCUCCUCGUCCCCAUCCUGGAGAAGGUGGUGCUGAUUGGCAGGGUGAAGGCGGUUGCUGAUUGGCAGGGUGAAGAACCCGCGCAGCGCCGUGCUCAAGACCUCCGUGAUGGCAUGCACGGACGUCUUCACGGCCUUCGGCAACCUCUCCUUGAGCAGCAGCUGUAGCAGCAGCUUGUCCAAGCCGAUGCAGUUGGAGUUCAUAUAUAUUUCUCCAAAAAUUAUACUCUCACUGUGUAGAAUCUUUUGGGCCUGAAUCGUUGGUUGAGUUUAGGUCAAAAGCAUCUGUAUGCCAAUAGUUUUGAUGUUGUUUUGUGCUAUAUACUUCAGGGAACAGUUAACUCAUUAAUUAAGAUGUCGAGGUACUAUCAACUAGAUCUGUUCACACACAUACUUUAGUAACCAGCUCCAUUAAUCAUCUGAUCAGCUAUGUAAACUAAUCACUGAACCUGGAAAUUAUGUGCUUUGAUAGAACACGGAAACUAAUCAAAUGCAGAAGAGUUGUUUCAGUUUGAGUUCUGUUUGAAAUGUUACAACUUCAGAAUUCUGGGAACUUUCCAUAAAGUUUGCAUCAGUUUAGUGGGUUCACCUAUAUUAUGUUGUUGGAACCUAGUUCAUGAUGAACUGAUUUAACUCUCUACUGGAAUAUUAUUGUUUUCUUUAUGGGAGGAAUAUAGUGUAUUAGUUGAUGUAAAUUUGUUUGGGUUCAGACCUAUGCUUCCUCCACUGUUUUGUAGAGUUGGCUAAUUUUAGAUGCUGCAUAAUAACCUUUAAGGUUGUGGCCAAUUUUAGAUGCUGCAUAAUAAUCUUUAUACUGCAUAAUAAAAAAUUGUACCGAAGAUGAAUGGUCGAUUAGUUUUAGCUUCAAGCCAUUUUAGUAUAUUCUUUGUACAUGUGGCCUGUGGGUAUAACUAGUUUGCUGUAGUUCAUCCGUGAUGUCCAGUAGCUAUGAGAUCCGAGGGAUGCCGACCAUUCGAGCCACUUAACUUAUUCAGCUUUCACUCUACAAUCUUGCUAAUUUAAAGUCACUAGGGGGCUUUCCCCAACUGUCCAUAGGCCCUAAAAAAACUUAUUCAGCUUUGGCCAUCCUCAUUUGCUAUGCUAGGUAUAAUGUAAACUCUCUUCUGAAUUUGAUUUGUACCAGUUUGACUUUCCUAAGUUUCUUUUCUUGUUAGCAGAGCUUACACUAUCUUUCUAUAGGUGCCGCCGGAUUCGAGGGUGGUGCCCGAGCCUCCACUGGAGCAUGGAUCAGCCGUGCAGGAGGUGGAGCUCCACAUGGAUCACGACUUGGUCGUUGUGGGGGCCUGGACCAUCAAGCUCGCGGGCGAGAUGGACGGCCUCGACAACGGAGGCGCGCGUGAGAUCCUGGGGUUGACCAAUCCAUAGGGUGCCACAUCUUCCCUCUGGGUCGCCUGAUGUAGCCAUACUGUCGCCGGAUCUCCUCCCCCCUCUCUCUGUGUGUUUUUCUGUCAAUAGCUAGUAGCAUAAGUUGGAGCUGGCUGUACCAGGAACUUAAUCUGCAUUUAUUCAACUAGAUCAAGUACAAGUACAUUAGUUCGUAAUCUGCUAUUAAUACAUCUCCUAUUCAUAAAUUUCCUGAAGUAGUGCAUGCAUAUAUUUAGGUGCUGGUUAAUUAGAAAAUGGAUGUGAUUUCUAACUUGAUUGCUGUAGGCUACAAGAUAUAUCUUUGUUGGUUCAUCUUGCUGUAGAAUAUGCCCCUGUUCAUUCAUUUAUGUGUAUUGCUAUUUACCUCUGGUGACAUGUGAGAAGCACUCAUCUAUAUGUUUAUAUUUUGAGCAGCUGGGUACAACUACAGUUGCAGAAUCAUCCAUCCAAAUUUUGGGAGGAUGGCAUAAAAGAUUAGAUAACCCAUGCUUUUGAAAUCAUGGUAUUCUAUUUAUGCUCCAUCCCGAAAUCUAUUGUGCACUGCCAAGUCCAUGAGGCGAAGCACUCACUGCUUGACCAUUUCUUUACUGAACUGGGAGCAACAGAG